CAGAGGAACAAGAUGUGACAGGUCCAUCUCUCUACUUCCAGAACUUCAGGGAUCUGCUGCUAACAUCUUGGUCCAGAUACCACAGAACACCUACAGAGGUCUGGUGGAAUCUAGGCCUUGAGUCAGAGCGGUUUUUGUGAAAAA